AUUGAACGCUGGCGGCAGGCUUAACACAUGCAAGUCGAGCGAGCGGCGGACGGGUGAGUAAUGUCUGGGAAACUGACUGAGGGAGGGGGAUAACUACUGGAAACGGUAGCUAAUACCGCAUACAAUCAGAUGGGCCCAGAUGGGAUUAGCUAGUAGUUGGGGUAAUGGCUCACCUAGGCGACGAGCCCUCACUGGUCAGAGAGGAUGACCAGCCACACUGGAACUGAGACACGGUCCAGACUCCUACGGGAGGCAGCAGUGGGGAAUAUUGCACAAUGGGCGCAAGCCUGAUGCAGCAAUGCCGCGUGUGUGAAGAAGGCCUUCGGGUUGUAAAGCACUUUCAGCGAGGAGGCGUUACUCGCAGAAGAAGCACCGGCUAACUCCGUGCCAGCAGCCGCGGUAAUAC
rnacentral:rRNA from 1 species